AUUCCACGAGGUGGGCACUAUCUCAACAUUUUCUUGUACCUUUCCCAAGCAUCGUAUAAUGAUUCAAACUCAAACUGUGUAAAGGAAGAAAUGUCUUUUCUCAACUU